UACAUAGGGUGCAAGCGUUGUCCGGAUUUAUUGGGCGUAAAGAGCUCGUAGGCGGCACGGUAAGUCAGAAGUUAAAACGCAGAGCUCAGCUCUGCGUCGCUUUUGAUACUGCCGAGCUUGAGUAUGGCAGGGGAGAUUGGAAUUCCACGUGUAGCGGUGAAAUGCGCAGAUAUGUGGAGGAACACCAGUGGCGAAGGCGAAUCUCUGGGCCAUUACUGACGCUGAGGAGCGAAAGCGUGGGGAGCGAACAGG
rnacentral:rRNA from 1 species